rnacentral:misc_RNA from 1 species
CUGGGGAUCACAUGAGCAAUGGAGUGGCGUAUUGAAGCUGCAAGCAAAGCAAAAACUGCAGCUACAAGCCCACAACAAACAAGCAAAAAUAGAAACUUCCAUCGAUCUAUAGUUUAUUGUUAUUAUUAUAUUCCUCCUCCAAGUUGUUUGCACGUCACUCCCUAAUCCAAGAUGUCCGCCAUCUAUCAGCCCAUUCAAACUUGCGUCACCAUAUCGCUAUCUUUAUCUCUUUUACGUUUCCCAAUAGUUUAUUUCUUCUAUUUAAUUCAAUCUCUCUAUAAAUCCACUUCUUUCUUCUUUUGCCGGGAAUAUCCCUUCUGGGUUUCUCGGCUUUCUUCUUCAAUUCUUGGGGUAUUUUGUUUCUUACUUUCUUUGUUGGACUUUUAUAAGUUUUUCUGAUGGUGUUAUGAGAGACCCAUUUGGCUUUUGUUUUGAUUUUUAGGCUUUUGUGUUUAUACCUUUGACGGGUUUUUGGGUUUGUUCACCAGGAAAGAUGGGUGCGAGUUGAGGACGCAUUUGGCUUCUGUUCGUGGUGGUGCCUGGGAAUUUCAAAAUUUCAAGGUUUAGUUAUUGUUUGGGUUCUUGCUGGAUUUGGAGUCCUGUGCCGGAUUAAGAGAUUUGUUCAUAUGAGCAAAUCUUGGUGAGUUACAGGAAUUCCACAAGACACAAUCUUUUCUUUAGCCAAGGUAUGGAUAUAAGUAAUGAGGCCACUGUUGAUCCAUUUUCAAUUGGACCCUCAACGAUCAUUGGCAGGACGAUUGCUUUCAGAGUCUUGUUCUGCAAGUCAAUGUCACAUUUGAGGCGUAAAAUAUAUCAUUUGUUACUGAAUUACUUUCAAAGAUUUAGGGAUGCUUCUGCAUCCAUACUGACAUGGUUGCAUCCGCGGAAUCCUCAAGGGAUAUUGGCCAUGGUAACAAUAAUUGCUUUUCUUUUGAAACGGUGCACGAAUGUGAAAUUGAGGGCUGAGAUGGCUUACAGGAGGAAAUUUUGGAGGAAUAUGAUGAGAACUGCAUUGACAUACGAAGAGUGGGCACACGCUGCGAAGAUGCUUGAUAAAGAGACACCAAAGAUGCAUGAAUCAGACCUUUAUGAUGAAGAACUAGUGAGAAAUAAACUUCAGGAGCUCCGACACCGUCGACAGGAGGGAUCUCUUAGAGACAUUAUCUUUUUCAUGAGAGCUGAUCUUAUAAGAAAUCUUGGUAAUAUGUGUAACCCAGAGCUUCAUAAGGGUAGGCUUCAAGUGCCCAAGCUCAUAAAGGAAUACAUUGAUGAGGUCUCAACUCAGUUGAGAAUGGUUUGUGAUUCAGAUUCGGAGGAGCUUGCACUGGAAGAGAAGCUUUCUUUCAUGCAUGAGACAAGACAUGCAUUUGGGAGAACAGCUUUGCUUUUGAGUGGUGGUGCUUCCCUUGGAGCCUUUCAUGUGGGUGUGGUUAAAACGCUGGUGGAGCAUAAGCUUUUGCCAAGAAUAAUUGCUGGUUCCAGUGUGGGAUCCAUUAUUUGUUCUGUUGUUGCCACUAGAUCGUGGCCAGAGCUACAGAGCUUUUUUGAGGGUUCUUUGCACUCAUUGCAGUUUUUUGAUCAGAUGGGUGGGCUUUUUACUGUUGUGAAGAGGGUCAGGACACAAGGAGCCGUCCAUGAAAUACGGCAGUUGCAAUGGAUGUUAAGGCAUCUGACGAGUAAUCUUACAUUUCAAGAAGCUUAUGACAUGACAGGUCGAAUUCUUGGGAUCACAGUAUGCUCCCCUAGGAAGCAUGAGCCUCCUAGGUGCCUUAACUACCUGACUUCACCUCAUGUUGUUAUAUGGAGUGCAGUCACUGCUUCUUGUGCCUUUCCUGGCCUUUUUGAGGCACAGGAACUGAUGGCUAAGGACAGGAGUGGAGAAAUUGUUCCAUAUCAUCCACCUUUUAAUCUGGAUCCUGAGGAAGGACCAAGCACAUCUGCUCGCCGGUGGAGGGAUGGUAGCCUGGAAAUCGAUUUACCAAUGAUGCAAUUGAAGGAACUGUUCAAUGUCAAUCAUUUUAUUGUGAGUCAGGCAAAUCCUCACGUUGCUCCAUUAUUGAGAAUGAAGGAGUUUGUGAGAGCUUAUGGUGGUAACUUUGCUGCCAAGCUUGCUCAUCUUACUGAGAUGGAGGUAAAACAUAAAUUCAAUCAGGCACUGGAACUUGGUUUUCCAUUGGGGGGACUUGCCAAGCUUGCUCAUCUUACUGAGAUGGAGGUAAAACAUAAAUUCAAUCAGGCACUGGAACUUGGUUUUCCAUUGGGGGGAC